ACUCCACAUGGUUAGCUGAAGGGCAGAUUCAGAACACAAAUCAGGUGUCCCAGGGCUCUGCCAAGGUGCUUCCUCUUACUUCAUAUUUGACAACUUGGUUGCCUAUCCCAGCCCUGGGAGGACCUAGACCUCCUGACUCCUAUCUCACCAAUGUGCAGGGCAGUUCAUGGGCUUGAGGGCAAGCGUGUCUGUGGAAUGGCUGGUAGAGCAGACACUCAGGGAGCUGGCAAGCCUGUCAGAGCCUGGGGGCUGCAGGACAAACAUAUCUUCCUGAUAAUGUUCCCAGUGUCCUGACAGUUCCCAGAGUUUCGCCGAAAACAGUGUGGGGGUUUUCACUUCUGAGAAACCACGACGGGUGUACUCGGCCUGCAGAGGAGGAUAUAGACACAGGAAGAAGCAGCUCCCGGGGCUCAGUUCAUGAAAGAAGAAGAGCUCCUGUGCCUGUGCGAAGGAAUGGCAGUGUCACUCAAGGGAGAAAGUGAGGACUUUGGAAUCCAGAAGAAACUGAUGGAGCUGCUCAAUCUCUUGGAUUUGGAAUCUGCUCCCAACUUUGCCAUCAGAUUCCCUCACACCAACUCCCCUUCUCCCAAUCUCUGUACCUUCCCAAUGCGUCGGUGGUCCCGUAACUCCGCUUCCCCCUUCCAUUCUUCCCAGGCCCUCAGCUCCUCUACUGUGGGAAAGGAGAUCCCUGACACUCGUUGCAGUGUCUCUGGAGUACCCGAAGACCUCCACAGGGAUGAGGAGUUCUAUGAGAGGACACAGGGAGUCAAAGGGAAGAUGGUGGGGGGGUGGGACUGCAGGCACCUAAGCUCUCCUUCAAUGAUGCUAAUCUGAUACUGAGCUUAAGCACAAUUGUCCCGUCUCAGUGUUCACUCCGUUUCCCAUUGCCUUCACCAGACUACUAUCCCCCCAGACUCCCUGCCAUGUUUAUAGCCUUAGAGAUGCUCCCCCAUCCCCCAACUUCUAAUCAGUGACUGCUCAUGGGAGUAACUCUAAGCUCUGGUCAAAUGUCCAUCUAUCCAUCCACUUAUCAAUCUCCCACACUAUGUCCUACUCUUCUUAGCCACAUGAAAUUCAAAUGCCUCUGCUUGCUCUUUUCUUGAACAAUUUAAUAAGAAA